rnacentral:misc_RNA from 1 species
GAAAGGGCAUUCAAGACCAUGGAAAGGCUAGCCAGACCACAAUAUGCUGGCUCAGAUUGUGUCUGAAAAUAAGAGAUCAACUUGAAAAAUCCUUCCAUUGUUCCAUUCUGGAUGGCCUCCAAAAAAAGUUGCUUUCCUUCAUUAGAAGCGAAAUCAAUAGCCGGAGGAGAUGGAAGAACCCGGCGAUACAAACCCGCCAUCGCCAUUUUUCUCCGAUCAGAUUUUCCCCAAUAAAUAAAUAGUACACCACAAUAUCUAUCAAAAGAG